CGCGGGGUGGAGCAGUUUGGCAGCUCGUCGGGCUCAUAACCCGAAGGUCGCAGGUUCAAGUCCUGCCCCCGCAA
rnacentral:tRNA from 1 species